AUGCUCAAGGCAGACAACAAAUGUGUGAACUCACCAGAGUCUGCCCAGCUCCCCCGAAAGAAGCCUCAUAAAACAAGCUUUGGGUCUUCAGGAACCAGCAGUAUACAAAUCUCCACCAUGACAGGGGUCCCUCUGCUUCUCACCUUCCUUUCUCUCUGCUCAGGAUCCUGGGCCCAGUCUACACUGAGUCAGCAAGCCUCCAUGUCUGGUUCUAUUGGACAAGAAGUCACCCUUGUCUGUACUGGAAGUGGUGGUGAUGUUGGAUUGUAUGAUGCAUCCUGGCACAAAGAGAUUCCGGGUGAUGUCCCCAAAUUUGUGACAGUUGGCUAUUCCCGGCCCUUUAGCAAUACUUAUUACCUAACUAUGACAGACCUCAAGCCUGAAGAUGAGGCCAGUUAUUACUGUUCAACAUGGGACAGCAGCACAAACACUCACACUGUGCUCUAG